rnacentral:rRNA from 1 species
CACGUGGACACCUACCCUUAGGUCGGGGAUAAACCCGGGAAACUGGGUAUAAUACCCGAUAGUCCUCGAAUGCUGGAAUGCAUCGAGGUCUAAAGCUCCGGCGCCUAAGGAUGGGUCUGCGGCCUAUCAGGUAGUAGUGGGUGUAGCGUACCUACUAGCCUACGACGGGUACGGGUUGUGAGAGCAAGAGCCCGGAGAUGGAUUCUGAGACACGAAUCCAGGCCCUACGGGGUGCAGCAGGCGCGAAAACUUUACAAUGCUGGCAACAGCGAUAAGGGGACCUCGAGUGCCAGGUUACAAAUCUGGCUGUCGUGAUGCCUAAAAAGCAUUGCAUAGCAAGGGCCGGGCAAGACCGGUGCCAGCCGCCGCGGUAACACCGGCGGCUCGAGUGGUAACCGUUAUUAUUGGGUCUAAAGGGUCUGUAGCCGGCCGGAUAAGUCUCUUGGGAAAUCUGGCAGCUUAACUGUCAGGCUUUCAGGAGAUACUGUCUGGCUCGAGGCCGGGAGAGGUGAGAGGUACUUCAGGGGUAGGGGUGAAAUCUUGUAAUCCUUGAAGGACCGCC